rnacentral:rRNA from 1 species
GAUGAACGCUGGCUACAGGCUUAACACAUGCAAGUCGAGGGGAAACGACGGGGAGGCUUGCUUCCCCGGGCGUCGACCGGCGCACGGGUGAGUAACGCGUAUCCAACCUGCCUCUGACUGAGGGAUAACCCGUCGAAAGUCGGCCUAAUACCUCAUGGUAUCGUCUGCGGGCAUCCAACGACGAUUAAAGAUUUCAUCGGUCAGGGAUGGGGAUGCGUCUGAUUAGCUUGUUGGCGGGGUAACGGCCCACCAAGGCUACGAUCAGUAGGGGUUCUGAGAGGAAGGUCCCCCACAUUGGAACUGAGACACGGUCCAAACUCCUACGGGAGGCAGCAGUGAGGAAUAUUGGUCAAUGGGCGAGAGCCUGAACCAGCCAAGUAGCGUGCAGGAAGACGGCCCUAUGGGUUGUAAACUGCUUUUAUGCGGGGAUAAAGUGAGGGACGUGUCCCUCAUUGCAGGUACCGCAUGAAUAAGGACCGGCUAAUUCCGUG